rnacentral:rRNA from 1 species
AAAUUGAAGAGUUUGAUCAUGGCUCAGAUUGAACGCUGGCGGCAGGCCUAACACAUGCAAGUCGAACGGUAACAGGAAGCAGCUUGCUGCUUCGCUGACGAGUGGCGGACGGGUGAGUAAUGUCUGGGAAGCUGCCUGAUGGAGGGGGAUAACUACUGGAAACGGUAGCUAAUACCGCAUAAUGUCGCAAGACCAAAGAGGGGGACCUUCGGGCCUCUUGCCAUCGGAUGUGCCCAGAUGGGAUUAGCUUGUUGGUGGGGUAACGGCUCACCAAGGCGACGAUCCCUAGCUGGUCUGAGAGGAUGACCAGCCACACUGGAACUGAGACACGGUCCAGACUCCUACGGGAGGCAGCAGUGGGGAAUAUUGCACAAUGGGCGCAAGCCUGAUGCAGCCAUGCCGCGUGUAUGAAGAAGGCCUUCGGGUUGUAAAGUACUUUCAGCGGGGAGGAAGGGAGUAAAGUUAAUACCUUUGCUCAUUGACGUUACCCGCAGAAGAAGCACCGGCUAACUCCGUGCCAGCAGCCGCGGUAAUACGG